GUGUCAGCCGCCGCGGUAAUACGAAGGGGGCUAGCGUUGCUCGGAAUCACUGGGCGUAAAGGGUGCGUAGGCGGGUCUUUAAGUCAGGGGUGAAAUCCUGGAGCUCAACCCCAGAACUGCCCUUGAUACUGAGGAUCUUGAGUUCGGGAGAGGUGAGUGGAACUGCGAGUGUAGAGGUGAAAUUCGUAGAUAUUCGCAAGAACACCAGUGGCGAAGGCGGCUCACUGGCCCGAUACUGACGCUGAGGCACGAAAGCGUGGGGAGCAAACAGGAUUAGAUACCCUGGUAGUCC
rnacentral:rRNA from 1 species